rnacentral:tRNA from 1 species
AGGGGGUUAGGUUAAGGUAGACUGUUAGCCUUCAAAGCUAAAGAUGUGGGUGCAAGUCCCAUCCCCCCUG